AAUAGAUACCCGGGUAGUCCACGCCGUAAACGAUGGAUGCUAGCUAUUGGGGGGAAUCGACCCCCGUCCGAAGCGAAGCUAACGCGUUAAGCAUCCCGCCUGAGUAGUACGAGCGCAAGCUUAAAACUCAAAGGAAUUGACGGGGACCCGCACAAGCGGUGGAGCGUGUGGUUUAAUUCGAUGGUAAACGAAGAACCUUACCAAGGUUUGACAUCCCGGUAGCCGUUCUCCGAAAGGAGAAUUUCAUUUAGUUGGACCGGUGACAGGUGAUGCAUGGCCGUCGUCAGCUCGUGUCGUGAGAUGUUGGGUUAAGUCCCGCAACGAGCGCAACCCUUAUGAUUUAGUUGGAUUUUUCUAAACAGACUGCCCUGGUAACAGGGAGGAAGGAGGGGAUGAUGUCAGGUCAGUAUUUCCCUUACACCUUGGGGCGACACACGCGCUACAAUGGCCGGUACAAUGGGCAGCUAAGCCGCGAGGUGGAGCAAAUCCCAUCAAAGCCGGUCCCAGUUCGGAUUGCAGGCUGAAACCCGCCUGCAUGAAGCCGGAAUCGCUAGUAACC
rnacentral:rRNA from 1 species